UGGGGAAUCUUGCGCAAUGGGCGAAAGCCUGACGCAGCAACGCCGCGUGAGCGAAGAAGGCCUUCGGGUUGUAAAGCUCUGUCAGGGGGAAAGAAGGCACCUGGGUUAAUAGCCCAAGGGCUGACGGUACCCCCAGAGGAAGCCACGGCUAACUACGUGCCAGCAGCCGCGGUAAUACGUAGGUGGCGAGCGUUGUCCGGAAUCAUUGGGCGUAAAGAGCGCGUAGGUGGCUUGUCAGGUCCGAUGUGGAAACCUGGGGCUCAACCCCAGGCCUGGAUCGGAAACCGGCUUGCUAGAGUCUGGGAGAGGAGAGUGGAAUUCCUGGUGUAGCGGUGAAAUGCGUAGAUAUCAGGAGGAACACCGGUAGCGAAGGCGGCUCUCUGGAACAGUACUGACGCUGAGGCGCGAAAGCUAGGGGAGCGAACAG
rnacentral:rRNA from 1 species